rnacentral:rRNA from 1 species
AUGGCAUCCAAUUCAUCGGCGGCGGCUGUCGCGGCGCUGUUCGGGAUUAGGGAAGGGCACCAGCAGGACCAGAUGAAGCCGCUGCUCGCCCAGCACCAGCGGCAGCAUGUCGCCGCGCCGCCCAGCGCGCUGUUGACAGCGGGGCCAGACCAGGCGGCCGCGGCGGCGCCACCGGUGAAGAAGAAGAGGACCAUGCCAGACCCUGACGCGGAGGUGAUCGCGCUGUCGCCCAAGACGCUGAUGGCGACGAACCGGUUCGUGUGCGAGGUAUGCAACAAGGGGUUCCAGCGGGAGCAGAACCUGCAGCUGCACCGGCGCGGGCACAACCUGCCGUGGAAGCUGAAGCAGAAGGACCCGAACCAGGUGCAGCGGCGGCGGGUGUACCUGUGCCCGGAGCCGACGUGCGUGCACCACGAGCCGGGCCGCGCGCUGGGCGACCUCACCGGCAUCAAGAAGCACUUCUGCCGCAAGCACGGCGAGAAGAAGUGGAAGUGCGACAAGUGCGCCAAGCGCUACGCCGUGCAGUCCGACUGGAAGGCGCACUCCAAGAUCUGCGGCACCCGCGAGUACCGCUGCGACUGCGGCACCCUAUUCUCACGGAGGGACAGCUUUAUCACCCACAGGGCCUUCUGCGACGCCCUAGCCCAGGAGAGCGCGCGGCUGCCGCCCGGGGCCGGCCACCUCUACGGCGCCACCGGCGCGGCCAACAUGGCACUCAGCCUCUCGCAGGUCGGCUCCUCCCUCCACGACGCGCACGGUCAAUACCACCAGGCGUCCUCGGAUCUCCUCCGCUUCGGCGGUGGCGGUGGCGGCGGCAUGGCUGCCCGCCUCGACCACCUCCUGUCGUCGUCCAACGCCCCGUCCUUCCGCCACCUGCCGCCUCCACAAGCGCCGCCAUUCCACCUCGGCUCAGCGCAGGAGUUCGUCGACGGGAAUGGAUCGCCCGCGUUCUUGCAGGGCAAACCGUUCCACGGCCUCAUGCAGCUCCCGGAUCUCCAGGGCAACGGCUCCGGCGGCACGUCGUCGUCGGCUCCUGGUCUUUUCAACCUCGGAUACAUCGCCAACAGUGCCAAUAGCUCCGGUACCUCCAGCCACGGCCACGCGAGUCAGGGACACAUGGCCAAUGACCAGAUCAGCGAAGGAGGCGGCGGCGGAGGUGCUGGUUCUGAGAAUUCGGGCGCGGCGUUCUUCAGCGCCGGUGGGAACUUUUCCGGUGGCGACCACCAGGUUGCUCCUUCUGGGAUGUACAACGAGCAAUCCGUGAUGAUGCCGCAGAUGUCGGCGACGGCGCUGCUCCAGAAGGCGGCGCAGAUGGGCUCUAGCACAAGCGCAGACGGCGGUGGCGCGUCCGUGUUCGGCGGUUUCAUGGGCUCGUCUGUCCCGCAGGGCCGCGCACCCAUGCUCGACCAGGGACAGAUGCACCUGCAGAGCCUGAUGAACUCGCUGGCCGGCGGCGGCAAUGGUGGCGGAAUGUUUGGCGGCGCCAACGGCCGCGGCAUGAUUGAUCCGAGGCUGUAUGAUAUGGAUCAGCACGAGGUCAAAUUUAGCCAGGGCCGUGGCGGCGCUGGCGGGGACGUGACGCGGGACUUUCUUGGCGUCGGUGGCAGAGGGGACAUGAUGAGGGGGAUGUCAGUGGCAAGAGGAGAGAACCACAGCGGCAGCGACAUGAGCUUCUUGGAGGCGGAGAUGAAGUCGGCCUCGUCGCCUUUCAAUGGAGGCAGGAUGCAGUGA